UGGGGAAUAUUGGGCAAUGGGCGAAAGCCUGACCCAGCCAUGCCGCAUGAGUGAUGAAGGCCUUCGGGUUGUAAAGCUCUUUCAACGGGAAAGAUUAUGACGGUACCCGUAGAAGAAGUCCUGGCUAACUCCGUGCCAGCAGCCGCGGUAAUACGGAGAGGGCAAGCGUUGUUCGGAAUCAUUGGGCGUAAAGGGCGCGUAGGUGGUCUUGUAAGUUGGUGGUGAAAUCCUGGGGCUUAACCCCAGGGCUGCUUCCAAUACUGCUAGACUAGAGUGUAAAGUAGGGUAAUGGAAUUCCUAGUGUAGAGGUGAAAUUCGUAGAUAUUAGGAGGAACACCAGAGGCGAAGGCGAUUACCUGGGUUAUUACUGACACUGAGGCGCGAAAGCGUGGGGAGCAAA
rnacentral:rRNA from 1 species